AUUCAAGAUGAGCGGAGUCUAUAGCGAAGAAACUAUAGCGAUCAAUAAAACCGAUUUCUCCCCAAGUCUUUUUCUAUCUCGCUACGCUACGCUCUACGCCUUAUAUUCGGAUAGCUAAUUGUAUAGUAUUUUGGUACACACGACGACUCUUAAACUGUUUUGAAAGUCUGUUUAACUGUUUCGUUUUUAUAUAGAAGGACUAUAACGGCAAUAUAUGACGUAAACCGAGUUUCUGAGUGAAUCAAGAAGGAUGAGAUACACAGCACUCACGCGCGAUGCCGUGGUGAUAGUAACUAUUUUUCUCCUGGUCAUAUGGUUUUGGAGUACUAUUAUGACGUCACCGGAUAACGUAUCUUUGAUAAGGGAAACCGAAGAACCCAGACGUAAAGUGGGGCACGUGACCAUCGAUCUCCCUCCAAACAAUAGCAGUUCGGAUGCCACUGGAUGCAGUGAUUAUAGGUUCAUGCCCCCGGGGACUUUCCCUUACAUCGCCCUGGCUAGUGUACAAGGCAGCGGGAACACGUGGGUUAGAUGGCUUCUCCAGAGUACGACUGGGUUCUCUGCAGCCAGCGUCUACAACGAACCACACACAGCAGGUUUUCGAGAAGAAAAGUGUCUACCUUGCAACGGACAGGCUUUGGUGGUCAAGAAUCAUGCUGGCAUAAAAGAACCGAUAGAUGGUGCUAUAAUCAUUCUACGGAAUCCAUACAGCGCCCUCAUUGCUGAGUUCAACCGAAGGAAAUCUGGUAAAGAUCAUGUCGGUUAUGCCCCGAUACAUCUUUUCAAUAACUCAGAUACAGUGUGGCCCCAUUUUGUGAAUGGAAUGCCCAACAAGUUUGUGAGUCUACUUAAAUUGUACAUCCAUCAAAACAAGCCUAUUCACAUUGUAUUUUAUGAAAAUCUCAAGAAAGACGUGGAGAAGGAACUCCGAAAAAUGCUUCAAUUCCUAAAGGUCGAUAUCAACGAAAAACGUUUAACCUGUACACUGUCCAACGCUGGGGGCGCUCAUCACAGGACCUCCAACUCAAGCAUGACGUUUGAUCCUUUCUCCAUGGAGCAGCGUUCAUUGAUAGAUGAUAUUAUUAGUAGGAUGGAUGUCAUCUUGAAGAAUAACAAUCUACCAGCGUUACCAGAAGAAUAUUGGAUAUAUCCCGGACCCUUUCCACGAUGAUGUUUACGAUACAUGGUACUACACUGUCGGUCAUAAUGGUAGAAUAAUUAUUUUUACCCCAAUUUAUUGAAUGAUUUUGACAAUGAUUUAUUCCUA